rnacentral:rRNA from 1 species
UGUGCCAGCAGCCGCGGUAAUACGUAGGGUGCGAGCGUUGUCCGGAAUUACUGGGCGUAAAGAGCUCGUAGGUGGUUUGUCGCGUCGUCUGUGAAAUUCUGGGGCUUAACUCCGGGCGUGCAGGCGAUACGGGCAUAACUUGAGUGCUGUAGGGGUAACUGGAAUUCCUGGUGUAGCGGUGAAAUGCGCAGAUAUCAGGAGGAACACCGAUGGCGAAGGCAGGUUACUGGGCAGUUACUGACGCUGAGGAGCGAAGGCAUG